UACAGAGGGUGCAAGCGUUGUCCGGAAUCAUUGGGCGUAAAGCGCGUGUAGGCGGCUUGGUAAGUCCGGUGUGAAACCUUGGGGCUCAACCCCAAGCCUGCACUGGAUACUGCCUCGCUUGAGUCCGGGAGGGGAGAGCGGAAUUCCUAGUGUAGCGGUGAAAUGCGCAGAUAUUAGGAAGAACACCGGUGGCGAAGGCGGCUCUCUGGAACGGUACUGACGCUGAGACGCGAAAGCGUGGGGAGCGAACAGG
rnacentral:rRNA from 1 species